AUGGCGGACUGCACGACUUCAAUUCAGUGUCGACUUCUCCUUCUUCCACUCUUCUUUUGUUUAUUGAUUGCAAGGCUUUAUUGUUGUUGUAAUGCUGAAGCUGUGUUUAUCUUGAUAUUGUUGCUACUAAGACUACAAGUUAUACACCUUGUUUACAAGGUAUUUGAUGAAAGUUCUAAGUGA